rnacentral:rRNA from 1 species
GACGAACGCUGGCGGCGUGCGUUUAUGCAUGCAAGUCGAGGGAGAACCAGUUGGUCCGUAAGGAUUGGCUGGGGAAACCGGCGAACGGGUGCGUAACACGUGAGGAACCUGACCCUGGAGACCGGGAUAGCCCGAGGAAACUCGGAUUAAUACCGGAUACUCUCAUCGGACCGCAUGAUCUGAUGAGGAAACAGUACCGCUGCUCCAGGAUGGCCUCGCGGCCUAUCAGCUUGUUGGUGAGGUAACGGCUCACCAAGGCUUCGACGGGUAGCUGGUCUGAGAGGACGAUCAGCCACACUGGGACUGAGACACGGCCCAGACUCCUACGGGAGGCAGCAGCAGGGAAUAUUGCACAAUGGGCGAAAGCCUGAUGCAGCGACGCCGCGUGCGGGAUGAAGGCCUUCGGGUUGUAAACCGCUUUCAGGAGGGACGAAAAUGACGGUACCUCCAGAAGAAGGCCCGGCCAACUACGUG